GAUGGCAUAUUCAAGCUCAACAGACCAAAUCACAGGUCUCUCUGGAUCUACUCCUCUGGGAUUGAUUUGUAUGCCGAUUUUCCCGCUGAACCGAGCCAUC
rfam:Oryza sativa (indica cultivar-group) chromosome 3, whole genome shotgun sequence.